rnacentral:ncRNA from 1 species
UUAUGUGUUUUUUUUUUUAAUCUUUCCUAUCACUUAAAAAAAUCACCCUUUAGAAGUCUACCGUAAAAGGGCUGCCAGAUGUGACGGUUUUAUGUUAUCCUAUCGGGGAGGUAGUGACGAAAAAUAACAAUACAGGACUCAUAUUAGAUGCCCUGUAAUUGGAAUGAGUACACUUUAAAUCCCUUAACAAGGACCUAUUGGAGGGCGAGUUUGGUGCCAGCAGCCGCAGUAACUCCAGCUCCAAUAGCGUAUA